UCUAUGUUGGCAAGACGUGGUUGAGAGGAAGAGGAGGCUCCAGUUGUUCUGCGACGGUGCCUUCUAGAUUUAGCCAUGAAGAAAAAAAAAUAAGUUUUGUAGAAAGUGAUGAGAAAUUGAGAAGGUUUGAGCUCUAGAUUUGAUUUUGGCAGAGUUUGGGUGCUAAGGAGUGUCCAACAAUCGAUUAUGGAAGGCUAUUUAUAAGAAAAAUGGAAAAACUAGUUGUUUAUGGCCGUUUAUAGCCGUUAUGAGAUGCUCCAACGACUCUAUUUUUGAAACUGUCAGCACGAUAAUCGAUUAUGACUUGUGAUAAUCGAUUAUCAGUUCAAUAAUUACUG
rnacentral:lncRNA from 1 species